GCUUUAAGACAUGUGAUCUGACUCUCUCUCAUCUCUCUCUCUCUCUUUCCAGCUGGUCUACGUUGUAAUACACACACAGACACACACACACACAUACACACACACACGGAUGCACGCUCACUCACACUCGCUCUGCCUUUCUGACACAGACUCUACUUAGUGCGUUGGAGAGAGCACUGAGGCUCACACUAUCAGCACAGCUUCUCAAUGGGGGGACGCAGCCAAGAGCAGACAGAGCAGUCAUUCCACUGGAGCCUUCCGCUGCACGCGUGAGAAGGAGACGACAAGUGAGGGGGGUAAAUUAGCUCCCUGUCACCACAACAGAGGAGUUCUACUGACGGAGAGGACACACAGACUGAAGGAAGGAGAGGAAAAGAGACCUGCACCUAUGUGGCUGAUACAGCAGUGACAUGAUCAGCCUCCCAUCCCUCAAAUCCUGGCCAGUUUGUGACACAGACCCCUGGGUGUUUUGCUUUUGGUGACUGUUUUGUGUUGCCAAGGAUUUCAAAAGGGACUGAGCAGCAGGGGUGAAUAGGAGGGGAUACUGAGGAAAAGAACAGCAUUUUAGCUCCUUUUGUGCGGUGUUCGGCUUAUCUGACUACUGGAAUUUGGCGCGGGAAUCCCUGGCUUCAAAGUAUGGAUGGAUAUAAGACAGAGGAGUGAGUCUGCUGGGCGGGCAGGCAGGCAGUGAUUCUGACUGAGCUCCUUUCCUCCUGAACGCACAGCUCAGACCCGGCCUUACCAUGUCCUGGUUGUUGGCCAUGUGGAUUAGCCUUGGCUUCCUGUUGUUGUGCCAGGCCACGCUCUACCAGACCAUCCAGCAGCACCAUGUGGCCCGACCCGGUCGCACCGACAUUCUCACCCUGGAGGGAGGUACGUGUGAGGUGAUUGCUGCCCACCGAUGCUGUAACAAGAACCGUAUCGAGGAGCGUUCUCAGACAGUCAAGUGCUCCUGUUUACCGGGGAAAGUGGCCGGGACGACACGCAACAAACCCUCUUGUGUUGAUGCGUCCAUUGUAAUUGGGAAAUGGUGGUGUGAGAUGGAACCAUGUCUGGAGGGAGAGGAGUGCAAGACUCUGCCUGACAACUCUGGAUGGAUGUGCUCCUCUGGGAACAAAAUCAAGACCACAAGGAACACCCAGCCAUACUCCCCUUUUUAGCUUCCGGAAGCAAAAUGCAGAGGAUGCGUCAACAGAAAUUGAGCUGCAUUCUUGCUUCUGUAAAGAUUCAUCCCAGGACCUAACAGAGAGCUCCCAUUGCAGGGCUGUGUGCCAGGCUCUUUCCCUCAUCUACCCUUUCUCUUCCCACCGAACGGACUAAAACUAUUACAUCCGCGGCUACUGACUGGAUUACCUGGGACCACAGAAAGGAUAUCCACCCAGAUAAAACAGCUUUGCUCGCGUGGUGCCAAGGAUUUCAAACCAGACUAAUCCCCUGUUUGAUCAAUGAGCCCCAUGUUGGUGACUCUCCUCUUCCACACAGCUGUGGCCAGUUUCCGACCUACUCUCUCUCUGUUUCCCUCACUUUGUCUCCCCCUCGAAAAAUUGAAACAGCUUUGCAGGGGUUAUUUAGAGGUUGUUAAAACAUUAUUUGAAGAUAUUCGCCCCGCCUGCCUGAAGGUUGAGGAGCUUACAAGGACCUGAACACAGGAUCUGCAGAACUAUGGGAGAGAAAUUACUUUGAUAUCCUUUUAUUUAUGUCCCGAGGGCAUUUGUGUUGGACUCACUAAUUUAGCAGGUUGGCUUUGCUGUGAAGACACGGAGGACAUUUAGCUGAGAAACACUGGAUUCUCAGUGAAUGCGACCACUAGCAGCCUAUAAAGAGUUAAGAAUCUUUGGGAGGAUUUAAGGUCUGCCCUCGUGGCCUCACCUUCAAACUCCUUGAUGGACAUUUCACUUUGACUUUUAUUCGUGGGCAUGCCCAAUGUAAAUCCAUGAGCACAUCUUUUCUUUGUAUGUAAGAUAAUUUGUGUAUAUAUACAUAUAUAAAUACAUUACAAAUAAGAUGAGAGAUCCAAGAAGCUGAGAAAUAUAUUUAAGACUCUAUUAGGAGCUCCGAAUAUUGAUCAGCCCCUGAAUAUAAUCCAGAGGCUGUUGUUCCAAUACGGUGUGUAAAGGACUGCUUUGCAGUGUAUGCUUGCAUUGGAAAAAGCAACAACGGAAUCAUAAAAAUAGGUAUCGGUCACUUUUGUCAUCCAGCAAUGCUGUUGGUUAAGCCAGAAAAUGCUUGUAGUUUCUGUAAAGAUGAGGAAAACACUGUAUAGAUCUGCCUCAAAAAAGAAAGCAGCACUAACAACAACCCCUGAGCUUCCCACUCAGAUACAGUAGGGACUUAGAGCAGCGUCAGAAAAACCGGGAACAUAAUCGGACAGUUAGUGUCUGUUUCUGCUGUGGAUAGUGGUCCAUGACCGCACUCUCCACAGCAGUGUGAUCUCCCUCUCACACACCAGAGAGAGAUGAUUUAUUCUAAAUGACAGUGAGAAAGUAUUAGUCACAAAGGAGAAACAUACAGUUAUCCCCCAGUAGAUAUAAGUACGUUACAGGACAGCCUUAUGAGAAAUAAAAAUGGUUUUCUAUACUGA